AGUGAACGCUGGCGGUAGGCCUAACACAUGCAAGUCGAACGGCAGCUCAGUAAGAGCUUGCUCUUACGGGUGGCGAGUGGCGGACGGGUGAGGAAUACAUCGGAAUCUACUUUUUCGUGGGGGAUAACGUAGGGAAACUUACGCUAAUACCGCAUACGACCUACGGGUGAAAGCAGGGGAUCUUCGGACCUUGCGCGAUUGAAUGAGCCGAUGUCGGAUUAGCUAGUUGGCGGGGUAAAGGCCCACCAAGGCGACGAUCCGUAGCUGGUCUGAGAGGAUGAUCAGCCACACUGGGACUGAGACACGGUCCAGACUCCUACGGGAGGCAGCAGUGGGGAAUAUUGGACAAUGGGCGCAAGCCUGAUCCAGCCAUACCGCGUGGGUGAAGAAGGCCUUCGGGUUGUAAAGCCCUUUUGUUGGGAAAGAAAAGCAGCAGGUUAAUACCCCGCUGUUCUGACGGUACCCAAAGAAUAAGCACCGGCUAACUUCGUG
rnacentral:rRNA from 1 species